CCUUAUGACUUUAUUUUCUAAUAUAUAUAUUUCUCAUUACAGAUAAGAACAAAGAUUAAAUUGUAAGAAGGGUUGCUUAUAAAAGCAUACAGUACAUCUGAAACUGCUGAGACUGAUCAGCUGCUAUAGAAGACAAAAUGAAAUCUGAGUGCAGAGACAUGCAAAGGAAUACUGCAAGACACUACUGACUAGGCUGUGCCCAGGUCUCCGGAACCUGCGACGACGCUCAGCUCCAUUGGCCCUUAGUCUGCGGCUUCGGAUCCACCAGCUCUGUCUCCAUCGGUCGGCCCCCAGAUGUCGGCAGCCACACCAUCUACAUCUUGGCUCCUCCCUCCCUCGACUCCGCCGUGUGUUGUCAGCUCUGGGAUGCUCUGGGUCUGUGCCAUGUGCCAAACACCAUCUAAGCCGCCAGGACAUCAUCGUCAUCCUCUCCAUCCUCUCAUCACCAUCCCUUCACCACAUCCUGCCAUCAUCCCCGCACCUUUGCCUCUCACCAUCCCUACACCAUCUCCUUGUCCACCUCCAAAACCCCUCCAUCCCUCCCUAUUCUGUUGCUUGAACUUUAUCAUCUUCA